CCAGCAGCCGCGGUAAUUCCAGCUCCAGUAGCGUAUAUUAAAGUUGUUGCAGUUAAAAAGCUCGUAGUUGGAUUUCUGGUACGCUGCGCCUGAGCCGCCAGCUUUAAGCUGUGUGUGUCUCGGAGCGCGGUUGCCAUCCUUCUAGAAAACGUUUCUACCCUUCGCUGGGCCGGAUUCGCAAUCUAGAUCUUUUACUUUGAAAAAAUUAGAGUGUUUAAAGCAGGCUUAUGCUAUGAAUACAUUAGCAUGGAAUAAUAAUAUAGGACUUUGGUUCUAUUUUGUUGGUUUCUAGAACUAAAGUAAUGAUUGAUAGGGAUAGUUGGGGGUGCUAGUAUUCAGCGGCC
rnacentral:rRNA from 1 species